UACACUCCUACGGGAGGCAGCAGUGGGGAAUUUUGGACAAUGGGCGAAAGCCUGAUCCAGCAAUGCCGCGUGAGUGAAGAAGGCCUUCGGGUUGUAAAGCUCUUUUGUCAGGGAAGAAACGGUGAAAGCUAAUAUCUUUUGCUAAUGACGGUACCUGAAGAAUAAGCACCGGCUAACUACGUGCCAGCAGCCGCGGUAAUACGUAGGGUGCAAGCGUUAAUCGGAAUUACUGGGCGUAAAGCGUGCGCAGGCGGUUUUGUAAGUCUGAUGUGAAAUCCCCGGGCUCAACCUGGGAAUUGCAUUGGAGACUGCAAGGCUAGAAUCUGGCAGAGGGGGAUAGAAUUCCACGUGUAGCAGUGAAAUGCGUAGAUAUGUGGAGGAACACCGAUGGCGAAGGCAGCCCCCUGGGUCAAGAUUGACGCUCAUGCACGAAAGCGUGAGGAGCAAACAGGAUUAGAAACCCCGGUAGUCCC
rnacentral:rRNA from 1 species